rnacentral:tRNA from 1 species
GAGAUUAUAAUUUAAUAGGUAAAAUAGUCGAUUGUCGUUCGAUUAAUAUGAGUUUGAGUCUCGUUAAUCUCG